rnacentral:rRNA from 1 species
UGGGGAAUUUUGGACAAUGGGCGAAAGCCUGAUCCAGCCAUGCCGCGUGAGUGAAGAAGGCCUUCGGGUUGUAAAGCUCUUUUAGUCGGAAAGAAAGAGUUGCAAUGAAUAAUUGUGAUUUAUGACGGUACCGACAGAAAAAGCACCGGCUAACUACGUGCCAGCAGCCGCGGCAAUACGAAGGGUGCGAGCGUUAAUCGGAAUUACUGGGCGUAAAGGGUGCGCAGGCGGUCUUGCAAGUCAGAUGUGAAAGCCCCGGGCUUAACCUGGGAAUUGCGUUUGAAACUACAAGGCUAGAGUGCAGCAGAGGGGAGUGGAAUUCCAUGUGUAGCAGUGAAAUGCGUAGAGAUGUGGAAGAACACCGAUGGCGAAGGCAGCUCCCUGGGUUGACACUGACGCUCAGGCACGAAAGCGUGGGGAGCAAACA